rnacentral:rRNA from 1 species
AUUGAACGCUGGCGGCAGGCUUAACACAUGCAAGUCGAGCGGAGCGAGGGUGCUUGCACCUUAGCUUAGCGGCGGACGGGUGAGUAAUGCGUAGGAAUCUGCCUAUUAGUGGGGGACAACAUUCCGAAAGGAAUGCUAAUACCGCAUACGCCCUACGGGGGAAAGCAGGGGAUCUUCGGACCUUGCGAUAAUAGAUGAGCCUGAGUCGGAUUAGCUAGUUGGUGGGGUAAAGGCCUACCAAGGCGACGAUCUGUAGGGGGUCUGAGAGGAUGAUCCGCCACACUGGGACUGAGACACGGCCCAGACUCCUACGGGAGGCAGCAGUGGGGAAUAUUGGACAAUGGGCGGAAGCCUGAUCCAGCCAUGCCGCGUGUGUGAAGAAGGCCUUUUGGUUGUAAAGCACUUUAAGCGAGGAGGAGGCUACUUAGAUUAAUACUCUAGGAUAGUGGACGUUACUCGCAGAAUAAGCACCGGCUAACUCUGUGCCAGCCGCCGCGGUAA